rnacentral:rRNA from 1 species
UCUGAAUCUGCGUACGGCUCCGCAAACCAGUUGUAAGCUACGGCAAGUACGCCUGUGGAGACCGGCUCCGGCCGGGGGAAGCAGGUGAUAGGGAUAACCCCGGUAAUUCUGAGGCUAAUACCUGGCCGUACACCCCGGACGCCCUCGAGGCGGACGGGGACCGUGCGACGAGAGCCGGUAGGAACUACCCGGGAGCGAACGCACGGUCAAACCGCGGUACAAAAGGGUCCGGUCGAUCCCCUUCGGGGGAAAAGCCGGUCCUCGCGGGUCUUGCAUCGCGCUUCUGACCUAUCAACUAGACAGCAGUGUAACAGACGUGCUGUGGUGACAACGGGUACCAG